rnacentral:rRNA from 1 species
UACGUAGAGUGCAAGCGUUGUCCGGAAUUAUUGGGCGUAAAGAGCUCGUAGGCGGUUUGUCGCGUCUGCUGUGAAAACCCGAGGCUCAACCUCGGGCCUGCAGUGGGUACGGGCAGACUAGAGUGCGGUAGGGGAGAUUGGAAUUCCUGGUGUAGCGGUGGAAUGCGCAGAUAUCAGGAGGAACACCAAUGGCGAAGGCAGAUCUCUGGGCCGUAACUGACGCUGAGGAGCGAAAGCAUGGGGAGCGAACAGG